UAUGGCCAUAUCACUUUGAAACACUGGUCCCCAUACAAUCACUGAAGUUAAGCAACAUCAAGCCUGGUCAGUACCUAGAUGAGUAACCACUUGGGAAUACCAGAUGCUGCAA